rnacentral:rRNA from 1 species
UAGUCCACGCCGUAAACGAUGAGAACUAGAUGUCGGGGGGAUUUACCCUUCGGUGUCGCAGCUAACGCGUUAAGUUCUCCGCCUGGGGAGUACGCCGGCAACGGUAAAACUCAAAGGAAUUGACGGGGACCCGCACAAGCGGUGGAGCAUGUGGUUUAAUUCGAUGCAACGCGAAGAACCUUACCUGCCCUUGACAUUGACAGAACCCUUUAGAGAUAGAGGGGUGCCUUCGGGCCUGGAAAACAGGUGCUGCAUGGCUGUCGUCAGCUCGUGUCGUGAGAUGUUGGGUUAAGUCCCGCAACGAGCGCAACCCUUGUCCUUAGUUGCCAUCAUUUAGUUGGGCACUCUAGGGAGACCGCCGGUGAUAAACCGGAGGAAGGUGGGGACACGUCAAGUCAUCAUGGCCCUUAUGGGGCAGGGGCUACACACGUGCUACAAUGGGUGAAUACAGAGGGGUUGCGAGCCAGCAAUGGUCAGCUAAUCCCUUAAAGUUCAUCGUAGUCCGGGAUCGGGA